UGGUAAUCAAACAUCAUCAGAGAUCCAUCUGACUAUAGAAGGUGAUCAACUGGUUGGUGCUCAAGUCAUCGUGACGGUCCUGGGAAUCAUUCUGCUCAUCACUACUUUGCUCAUCUUUGCGUGCUGGUUGAAAUCAAGACGCUGCACCAAACCACAGGAGGUAAGACAUCAGAAGAGGAGAGAUAUUUCAUGAUCAGGCCCUUGUUUGGUUUACAACAUUAGCACAGGAAUAAUCCUUCAAUGGUGGUGAUGUUUAAAGAGCAGAGUCUCCUCCAAUGCAGUGAAGCACGUCUCCAAAUGAAUGCUGAUGAUGCUCUGUGUCUGCUGGAUGGUGUCUUUGCUAAGCUGUGUGCCAUAAAAGCUUCUUCAAGUGCUUCCAUUCAUUCAUCCAAGAACAAAAUAUCCACAAUGACAACCUACAAAAAUGAAGACUAUGUAAGAACUAUUAAAACACAACGUAGUUAGAACAGCUUUAAACCUGCAUUCAUUUAUUAAGGGCCAGUGCAUGAAGCUCUAAACACAACAUGGACAUUUCAUCACUUCAUAAAGAUGAUAUGGUGAACAUUAUUGUGUGUGUGUGUGUGUGUUUAACAUGUUCUACCUACUUUAGGUGGUGCAUUGCUCCCAUGCUGUUCUGUGACACGGACACAUCUGUAACACAAAGAAUCUGCAUCCGUUUUCAUCUGUAUAGUAACUAAAACUCUU